rnacentral:rRNA from 1 species
UACGUAGGGGGCUAGCGUUGUCCGGAAUCAUUGGGCGUAAAGCGCGUGUAGGCGGCCCGGUAAGUCCGCUGUGAAAGUCGGGGGCUCAACCCUCGAAAGCCGGUGGAUACUGUCGGGCUAGAGUACGGAAGAGGCGAGUGGAAUUCCUGGUGUAGCGGUGAAAUGCGCAGAUAUCAGGAAGAACACCCGUGGCGAAGGCGGCUCUCUGGGACGGUACUGACGCUGAGACGCGAAAGCGUGGGGAGCGAACAGG